rnacentral:rRNA from 1 species
GACGAACGCUGGCGGCGUGCUUAACACAUGCAAGUCGAACGGAAACGUCCUGCUUUUGUGGGGUGCUCGACUGGCGAACGGGUGAGUAACACGUGAGUAACCUGUCCUUGACUUUGGGAUAACUUCAUGCAACUGGGGCUCAUACCGGCUAGGAGCUCCUGCUGCAUGGUGGGGGCUGGAAAGUUUCGGCGGUUGGGGAUGGACUCGCGGCUUAUCAGCUUGUUGGUGGGGUAGUGGCUUACCAAGGCUUUGACGGGUAGCCGGCCUGAGAGGGUGACCGGCCACAUUGGGACUGAGAUACGGCCCAGACUCCUACGGGAGGCAGCAGUGGGGAAUAUUACACAAUGGGCGGAAGCAUGAUGCAGCAACGCCGCGUGGGGGAUGACGGCCAUCGGGUUGUAAACCGCUGUCGCCUGUGACGAAGCGAGAGUGACGGUAAUGGGUAAAGAAGCACCGGCUAACUACGUG